UACAGAGGAGGCAAGCGUUGUUCGGAAUUACUGGGCGUAAAGGGCGCGUAGGCGGCCUGUUAAGUCGAACGUGAAAUCCCUGGGCUCAACCCAGGAACUGCGUCCGAUACUGGCAGGCUUGAAUCCGGGAGAGGGAUGUGGAAUUCCAGGUGUAGCGGUGAAAUGCGUAGAUAUCUGGAGGAACACCGGUGGCGAAGGCGGCAUCCUGGACCGGUAUUGACGCUGAGGCGCGAAAGCCAGGGGAGCAAACGGG
rnacentral:rRNA from 1 species